CAUGUGAAAACGGAUGAGUUUGCUUCCCCUUUUGCUGUGAUUAUAAGUUUCCUGAGGCCUCCCAAGUCAUGUUGAACUGUGCUCCUCUCCUUGAGGCAUUCCAUUGCUUCCCUUUACCCCCACAGUUUAUGGAGAGAUGAGAUGAGCAAACACCAAAGGAAAAGCGCCUUGGGAGACACUGCAUCCUUCUCCUUGCACGACUUGUCUAAGUCAUGCAUUUCUUUCCUCCCGCCUUCUGCAUUCUGCCCUGGUGCUGACGGUCCUUCCAAAAGGAAGAAAUCUUCCCAGGUAUUGGCUGUGUCCUAAAUAGCUGAGAACUGAAACUAUCUAAGUGAAAGGCUUAGUAGACAUUAAUCAAACCAAAAAGAGACAGAUAAUUAUGAUAUACAAAGAGAAGGAUUUAAAAAUAGUGUAUGAAAGAAGAGAAAUCUACAAGGAAGAAAUUCUAAAAGAAACAAUUCUGAAAGGAAUUCACCAGGUGGAUUCUGCAAGUUCUUUUUUUUUUAACAGAGUCUUGCUCUAUGUGUAAGUUUUAAUCUUCACACUGAGAUGUCUACUAAUUGCACCAUCAUGUACCAACAGUGACCCUGACUUUGAGUCUUAUUCUGGCCAUUCAAUAUAGAGGAGUGAGUGAACCUCUGAAUAAACCAGGGGUAGGGGAAUGAAAAAAAUUAUAAAUAGAUAACCUGCGGAUGGGAAAAACAGUGAUUGGAACAAUGGAAAUAUUGAUUGGGAACAGCAGAGAGUCACUAAAGUACAGUCACAUACUUAUAUCUCAUUCAUUCAUUCAUUCAUUCAUUCAUUCAAUGCUGAGUGGAUUUGGAUAAAUGUUUACUGAAGACACACCCUGUGCCUGUCUUCCCUGUGCCUGGCAGUGAAAAUGCU
rnacentral:lncRNA from 10 species